GUGUGUGAAGAUCGGUGAGCAGCUGAAGUUAGAUGUUCUGUCGUCAGAAGCUGAUAAAGUGCAGCAUCAGAGCAGAAGAAGCACCGAGUGGAAAGAUGUUUGGACGAGAGGCCAUGGUGUUCAGAAUCAGCAGCUGAAUGAUAGAGAUGGAAACCUGAUCAUCAGAAACUUUACAGCCAGUGAUUCAGGAAAAUACAGAGUUCUGGACUCUGAAGGAGAACCCUUGAUCACAGUGACUGUUAGAGAAUCUAAAGGAUCUUGCUCAGGUGAAAAACUCAGUAGUGAUGCUGCACAACACAGGCACUGGAUUGGACCGGCUGGGUUUGUUUGGGUGGUUCUUUGCCUUUUUUAAAAGAAGAACGAUACACUGGUGUCUGGAGGGAGGUCUGAGUAGGUCCUACAUGUGCUACAUCUGCCAUAUUGUAACGUGACCCGUCCUAAAAGUAGUAGAACGUCCAGGUAAUUUCUGACAGCUGUUUUAUAAGUAUUACAAGAUUUUAUUGCCAUCUGAAUCCAGAAUGUCAGUGUGUUUCUCCCACCACCCGUAUAGUUCCCUGACCGAAUUACCUACUGUUUUCUUUAACAAACAAAAAGGUCAUGUGGUAAUUUCACUGCAUUUUUUUGGCAGCAUUAAACAUCUACACUUUUAUUACUGAAAGAUAUAUAACAUAUUAUUGCACCAAAGGGCAUGUUAUGCAAUUUUUGAUGUUUGUAUGUAUGCAUGUAUUUAUUUAUUUAUUUAUUUAUUUAUUUAUUCAUUCAUUCAUUUUCAUGGACAUGUUAUAUAAUCUCUUUGACCCUAAUGUAAAUGACCCCUUUGACCCUCAAAUGGAACAUCAGUGUCUUUAAUGUCAGUGUAAGUCCCUCGAUUGUCCACCAGAGGUCUCACUCACCAGAGGAUUGACUAUUGGACUACAGUUCCCAGCAAGCCUCAUACCUGGACUAAUUUCUGUUCACCUGAUCCUUGCACACAGAUUAUUUAAAACUGUGUUUUUGUUCUUCUUGAAGUCUUGUUUAUUGUGUAUCGACACAGCUCUAGCUGCCUGCCCUUGUCUGUUGUUUGCUGUGUUUGUUAGGCUUUACUGUCUAAACCACAUGGAUUCAGCCAGAGUGUGUGUUACAAUCAGACUGAAAUGAUUAGGGAUCUUGUCUAAAAUAAGACAACUCAUAUGUGGAAUCUAUCAGCUAGGAGCUGCACAAUAUUUGAAAUAUGUUUUACAUUGUUAUUGUCAAUACUUUUGUUUUUCUAGUGUUUAGAAUUAUCCCUUAUUAUGUAAAAUAAAUAAA